rnacentral:rRNA from 1 species
UGCCAGCAUCCGCGGUACUACUGAGGGUGCAAGCGCUAUCCGGAAUCACUGGGUUUAAAGGGUGCGUAGGCGGCAUUAUAAGUCAGAGGUGAAAGGCCACCGCUUAACGGUGGGACUGCCUUUGAUACUGUAGAGCUUGAAUAAGGUUGAGGUUAGCGGAAUGAGUCAUGUAGCGGUGAAAUGCAUAGAUAUGACUUAGAACACCAAUUGCGAAGGCAGCUGGCUAGACCUUUAUUGACGCUGAGGCACGAAAGCGUGGGGAGCAAACAGGAUUAGAUA